UACAGAGGUGGCAAGCGUUGUUCGGAAUUACUGGGGACGGUAAAGGGCGCGUAGGCGGCCCGUCAAGUCCCGAUGUGAAAGCCCCCGGCUCCAACCGGGGAACGGCGCGGGAAACUAGCAGGCUUGAGUUCGGGAGAGGGAAGCGGAAUUCCGGGUGUAGCGGUGGAAAUGCGCAGAUAAUCCGGAGGAACACCGGUGGCGAAGGCGGGUCUCUGGGCCGAUACUGACGCUGAGGAGCCGAAAGCGUGGGGAGCGAACAGGA
rnacentral:rRNA from 1 species